AAUAAAGCUGCAACUAUAGAGCUAAUAGAAGAAUUAAUACCUUUUAUGCCAAUUAAAAAGAGAAAGACAGCAAUUCCAUCACAUUUACAAAUUUUUGCUACACUUAAUUUCUUUGCAUCAGGUUCUUAUCAAAGAAGAACUGGACAAGAUUAUUUAUCAAGCAUGUGUCAGACUUCCAUUUCUGUUGCUAUUCAUGCCACUGUAAAUGCAAUAAAUACAGUUAUGGGACGAUGGAUAAAAUUUCCAAUAUCAAACAGAAGAAAACAAGAGAUUAAAGAAGAAUUUUUUGAGAAAACGGGAUUUCCAGGAGUAAUUGGAGCCAUAGAUGGAACUC